GGUUGUCGGUACACUCCCAACCCCCUGCGACACCACAGCAGUUGCCUCGGCGGGACCGCCCCGGCGCCCCAGGGCCCGGACCAGGGCGCCCGCCGGAGGACCCCCAGACCCUCCUGUCGCAGUGGCAUCUCUCAGUCAAGAAGCAAGCAAAUGAAUCAAAACUUUCAACAACGGAUCUCUUGGUUCUGGCAUCGAUGAAGAACGCAGCGAAAUGCGAUAAGUAAUGUGAAUUGCAGAAUUCAGUGAACCAUCGAAUCUUUGAACGCACAUUGCGCCCGCCAGCACUCUGGCGGGCAUGCCUGUCCGAGCGUCAUCUCAACCCUCGAGCCCCCCGCCUCGCGGCGGCGGGGCCUUCUCUUGGUUGUCCUUUAUUGAUGACGGCUUGUACUUGGAGGUCGUGCCGGCUCUCGGCUCCGGCUCCUCUGACUUGCAUUAGUGCUAACGUUACCGGCCGGUUCGCCGUGAUAAUUAUCUGCCUUGCUGCGCUCGGUUUUAUCUCGGACCCGGUUCGGAUACCCGCUGAACUUAUUCCUGAACUCUGACGGAGGAUCAGUAGGACUACCCGCUGAACUUAAGCAUAUCAAUAAGCGGAGGAUAAUAAAUCACCUAAAUCAAACAUCCA
rnacentral:rRNA from 1 species